rnacentral:rRNA from 1 species
CUGGCGGCGUGCCUAAUACAUGCAAGUCGAACGGUCUUUCUAUGGAAGCUUGCUUCCACUGAGAAGAUAGUGGCGAACGGGUGAGUAACACGUGGGUAACCUGCCCAUAAGAGGGGGGAUAACAUCCGGAAACGGGUGCUAAUACCGCAUAGUUUUCUUGAUCGCAUGAUCGGGAAAGGAAAGACGGCCUUUGUGCUGUCGCUUAUGGAUGGACCCGCGGCGUAUUAGUUAGUUGGUGAGGUAACGGCUCACCAAGACGAUGAUACGUAGCCGACCUGAGAGGGUGAUCGGCCACAUUGGGACUGAGACACGGCCCAAACUCCUACGGGAGGCAGCAGUAGGGAAUCUUCCGCAAUGGACGAAAGUCUGACGGAGCAACGCCGCGUGAGUGAAAGAAGGUUUUCGGAUCGUAAAACUCUGUUGUCAGAGAAGAACAAGUUGGAGAGUAACUGCUCCAGCCUUGACGGUAUCUGACCAGAAAGCCACGGCUAACUACGUGCCAGCCGCCGC